AGUGUACGCUGGCGGCGUGCUUAACACAUGCAAGUCGAACGAGAACGGGUUAUAGCUUGCUAUAAUUGUCAGCUAAGUGGCGCACGGGUGAGUAAUGUAUAGGUAAUAUGCCUCUUACUAAGGGAUAACAAAUGGAAACGUUUGCUAAUACCUUAUACUCCUUAUUAACAGAAGUUAAUAAGGGAAAGAUUUAUUGGUAAGAGAUUAGCCUGUAUUGUAUCAGUUAGUUGGUGGGGUAAUGGCUUACCAAGACUAUGACACAUAACUGGUUUGAGAGGAUGAUCAGUCACACUGGAACUGUGACACGGUCCAGACUCCUACGGGAGGCAGCAGUGGGGAAUAUUGCACAAUGGACGAAAGUCUGAUGCAGCAACGCCGCGUGGAGGAUGACACAUUUCGGUGCGUAAACUCCUUUUAUAUGAGAAGAUGAUGACGGUAUUAUAUGAAUAAGCACCGGCUAACUCCGUGCCAGCCGCCGCCGUAA
rnacentral:rRNA from 1 species